rnacentral:rRNA from 1 species
ACAGUCACACAUUAGAUACCCGUGUACGUCCAGGGUGUAAACGCUGCAGACUUGGUGUUGGGAACCCUUCGGGGGUGCUCAGUGCCGGAGAGAAGUUGUUAAGUCUGCUACUUGGGGAGUACGUCCGCAAGGAUGAAACUUAAAGGAAUUGGCGGGGGAGCACCGCAACGGGAGGAGCGUGCGGUUUAAUUGGAUUCAACGACCGAAAAACUCACCAGCAGCGACUGUUACAUGAAAGUCAGGUUGAUGACCUUACUAGAUUUUCAG